rnacentral:rRNA from 1 species
UGAGUAACCUGCCCCAGACUCUGGGAUAAGCACUGGAAACGGUGUCUAAUACCGGAUACCACUCCCGCCUGCAUGGGCGGGGGUUGAAAGCUCCGGCGGUGAAGGAUGAGCCCGCGGCCUAUCAGCUUGUUGGUGGGGUAAUGGCCCACCGAGGCGACGACGGGUAGCCGGCCUGGAGGAGGGGCGGCCGGCCACACUGGGACUGAGACACGGCCCAGACCUCCGUACGGGGAGGCAG